UCUCACGUUCCCUGUUCUCCGAGAAUCUUGAAGCCGAACUGGGCAUCUGUUCGUGCAUCCUAUUGGGCCUGUGCCACAGAAAGCACCAGUCUGGGUGCUAUGCAGACAGCAACCAGGUUGAUCGGACUCGAAGAAACACUCAUCUCCCAUAUCCUCCUCUUCAGAGAACCCCUGGUGAACAAGGCUGUAUAACUCCAUUCAGCAGGGGUGGGAAAGCCAAGAAUUUCCCAAAGAAUAGCCACUGCUCCUCCAUCCCCUUUCAUGAAUAGUUAUGCGAACUUUGUUAGUGUCACUCAGCUGGCAGGGUAUUCCUUGACUGCCUUGUGUCUACCGUCCCUAUUUUUAUGGCAACAUGCGAGCACCAGUUUGGGAGAUCCUUCCCCACUAGCAGGACGAAGAACAAGACUGACAGAGGACCACCCUUCGAAGGUCUCAGCUUGCUUUGGAACCAUAAACAUACGACGAUGUACAAUAUUUAAGGGGACACUUCUCAGGUAGGGUCUCAGAGGCUCCCUGUCGUGCCCUUACCAGCCUCGAUCAAAGAGUCAUCUUCUCAGCAUGAAAGUAGAUAUCCGUGCAUAUGACCAGCUUGUUUGUGAUUUACCUCCAUCAGUGAGGGUUUCUGCUUCUCUGCUAUAUGGAGUAAUGAUUGCAAAGUGGUUCAGACUCUGUAAAGAAUGAUGGUUAAAUUACAGGACAUUUUCAGAGAGUAAUAAAAAAUAAUAUUUCUGUUAGCACUUA